UCUCAGAUAGCUCAGUUGGUGGAGCACGAGACUCUUAUUCUCAGAGUCAUGGGUUCAAGCCCCACUUUGGGCA